UACGUAGGGGGCUAGCGUUGUCCGGAUGUAUUGGGCGUAAAGAGCGUGUAGGCGGCCAGAUAGGUCUGCUGUGAAAACUCGAGGCUCAACCUCGAGAUGUCGGCGGAAACCAUUUGGCUAGAGUCCGGAAGAGGAAAGUGGAAUUCCUGGUGUAGCGGUGAAAUGCGCAGAUAUCAGGAAGAACACCCGUGGCGAAGGCGGCUUUCUGGGACGGUACUGACGCUGAGACGCGAAAGCGUGGGAGCGAACAGG
rnacentral:rRNA from 1 species